rnacentral:lncRNA from 1 species
GGAGGCGAACGACCCUGUCACUGAAGCGACCUUUCCUCGCCCUGCUCCCCGGGCCCCUUACCUGCCGCUCUGAGGGGCUCUCUGCACCUCCGGGUCAAGCCCCAGUCCCCGGGGUCUCCUGUGAGGACCGCGCCGCCCGCCGGCGCCGCCCGCGAUUCCCGGAGCACCUCGCAGUCCUCCAACGCCCCGCGGCGAGUCUGCACCCCGGAACGGCGCGGCGGGGCCUCGCAGCCGGCGAGCGCAGCCCGCGGCGGUGCUCCUGUCAGCGGCGGCUCGGGGGCCAGCUCUCGCCCCUCGGCUCGGCUCGGCGGCGGCGGGCGCCUCGCUCCGCCUAGCGCGCGGCACAGCCGGGAGAGGCAGGGUCUUGCUAUGUUGCCCAGGCUGGUCUGGAACUCUGAGCUCAAACAGUCCUCCUACCUCAGCUUCUCAAAGUGCUGGGAUUACAGGAUUUAGAAAGAAUGAAAAACUAUGCUGCUGAUGCUGUCAGCUUCCCAGAAU